GUGCCUGUAGUUCAGUUGGUUAGAGCGUCAGAUUGUGGUUUUGAAUGUCGUGGGUUCGAGCCCCACCAGGCACC
rnacentral:tRNA from 1 species